CUGGUGGCUAGGGGAGGCAGGUAGCCUGGUGGCUAGGGGAGGCAGGUAGCCUGGUGGUUAGGGGAGGCAGGUAGCCUGGUGGUUAGGGGAGGCAGGUAGCCUGGUGGUUAGGGGAGGCAGGUAGCCUGGUGGUUAGGGGAGGCAGGUAGCCUGGUGGUUAGGGGAGGCAGGUAGCCUGGUGGCUAGGGGAGGCAGGUAGCCUGGUGGCUAGGGGAGGCAGGUAGCCUGGUGGCUAGGGGAGGCAGGUAGCCUGGUGGCUAGGGGAGGCAGGUAGCCUGGUGGUUAGGGGAGGCAGGUAGCCUGGUGGCUAGGGGAGGCAGGUAGCCUGGUGGCUAGGGGAGGCAGGUAGCCUGGUGGCUAGGGGAGGCAGGUAGCCUGGUGGCUAGGGGAGGCAGGUACCGUACCAGUGUCUCUACAUGUUCCUCACCUCCAGCACCGUACCAGUGUCUACAUGUGAAAACAGUGUGUUUCUAGGAUCUGUGGUUUAAAAAAAAGAGAAGAAGAAGAAAGGUCCUAACAGAAAAUGCGUCUCUGUGACAUCACAGGGUUGGAUUCAAAAAAGUAAGAACAAUGAGUUUCUAGCCAGAGGGAGGACAUUUCCUACUCCGCGGGUCACUGUGAAUCUCAUCGUGUUUUUUAACAUCUCUGUUUUGAACUUUUAAUGAUGUUGUCAAUGUAAACAGCAUACAGUAUGUAGACACUGGUAUUAUGCUGGAACAGACUUGUCAAUGUAAACAGCAUACAGUAUGUAGACACUGGUACUAUGCUGGAACAGACUGUUCAAUAAACAGCAUACAGUAUGUAGACACUGGUAUUAGGCUGUAACAGACUGGUCAAUAGAAACAGCAUUGGAUGGAUGUCAGACGUUUUGAAAGGUCCUUGGGACGUCGAUAUAUGCCUUCCCUCUCCACUUACCAUAAGAAAAGAUUUCCCGAGCACUGGCACAAACUCAAGAUGCUCGAAGACGAAGCGUGGUCAGACCAAGCAUGCUGCUUAAGACCCCUGGACCACGGCAGUUCACAACGCUCCAACAAGCCGGGAGAAUACUUGAUGGAAGCUUAUUUUGUUUUAAGCCUUCCCCCCCCCAAACCAUAGCCCUGACCUUAACCACUCAGAAUGAUCACCUCCCCCCCCCAAACCAUAGCCCUGACCUUAACCACUCAGAAUGAUAACCCCCCCCCCCCCAAAACCAUAGCCCUGACCUUAACCACUCAGAAUGAUAACCUUCCCCCCAAACCAUAGCCCUGACCUUAACCACUCAGAAUGAAUACCUAAACUAACCUCCCCCCCAAACCAUAGCCCUGACCUUAACCACUCAGAAUGAUAACCUUCCCCCCAAACCAUAGCCCUGACCUUAACCACUCAGAAUGAUAACCUUCCCCCCAAACCAUAGCCCUGACCUUAACCACUCAGAAUGAAUACCUAAACUAACCUCCCCCCAAACCAUAGCCCUGACCUUAACCACUCAGAAUGAUAACCCCCCCCCCCAAACCAUAGCCCUGACCUUAACCACUCAGAAUGAUAACCUCCCUCCCCCCCCAAACCAUAGCCCUGACCUUAACCACUCAGAAUGAUAACCUUCCCCCCAAACCAUAGCCCUGACCUUAACCACUCAGAAUGAAUACCUAAACUAACCUUCCCCCAAACCAUAGCCCUGACCUUAACCACUCAGAAUGAUAACCUCCCCCCAAACCAUAGCCCUGACCUUAACCACUCAGAAUGAUAACCUUCCCCCCAAACCAUAGCCCUGACCUUAACCACUCAGAAUGAUAACCUUCCCCCCCAAACCAUAGCCCUGACCUUAACCACUCAGAAUGAUAACCUUCCCCCCCAAACCAUAGCCCUGACCUUAACCACUCAGAAUGAAUACCUAAACUAACCUUCCCCCAAACCAUAGCCCUGACCUUAACCACUCAGAAUGAAUACCUAAACUAACCUUUUUGUUUUAACCCUGUAACAAUGCGGAAUUAACCCUGUAACCACGCAAAAUUAACCCUGUAACCACGCAAAAUUACCCUGUAACCACACGAAAUUAACCCUGUAACCACACGAAAUUAACCCUGUAACCACACGAAAUUAACCCUGUAACCACACGAAAUUAACCCUGUAACCACGCGAAAUUAACCCUGUAACCACGCGAAAUUAACCCUGUAACCACACGAAAUUAACCCUGUAACCACACGAAAUUAACCCUGUAACCACGCGAAAUUAACCCUGUAACCACGCGAAAUUAACCCUGUAACCACGCGAAAUUAACCCUGUAACCACGCGAAAUUAACCCUGUAACCACGCAAAAUUAACCCUGUAAACAGGGAUUGACUGGAUAUAAUGAGAUAAUGAACAUGAAGUUGGCUGAGAUAAUGAACAUGAGGUUGGCUGAGAUAAUGAGAUAAUGAACACGAGGUUGGUUGGCGAUAAUGAACAUGAGGUUGGCUGAGAUAAUGAGAUAAUGAACAUGAGGUUGGCUGGAGGUAAUGAGAUAAUGAACAUGAGGUUGGCUGGAGAUAAUGAACACGAGGUUGGUUGGCGAUAAUGAACAUGAGGUGGGCUGGAGGUAAUGAGAUAAUGAACAUGAGGCUGGUUGGCUGGAGGUAAUGAGAUAAUGAACAUGAGGCUGGUUGGCGAUAAUGAACAUGAGGUUGGCUGGAGGUAAUGAGAUAAUGAACAUGAGGCUGGUUGGCGAUAAUGAACAUGAGGUGGGCUGGAGGUAAUGAGAUAAUGAACAUGAGGCUGGCUGGAGGUAAUGAGAUAAUGAACAUGAGGCUGUUUGGUGAUAAUGAACAUGAGGUUGGCUGGAGAUAAUGAGCAUGAGGUUGGCUGGAGGUAAUGAGAUAAUGAACAUGAGGCUUGCUGGAGAUAAUGAACAUGAGGUUGGCUGGAGGUAAUGAACAUGAGGUUGGCUGGAGGUAAUGAGAUAGUGAACAUGAGGCUGGCUCGAGGUAAUGAGAUAAUGAACAUGAGGCUGGUUGGCGAUAAUGAGAUAAUGAACAUGAGGUUGGCUGGAGAUAAUGAGAUAAUGAACAUGAGGCUGGUUGGCGAUAAUGAGCAUGAGGUUGGCUGGAGGUAAUGAACAUGAUGUUGGCUGGAGGUAAUGAGAUAAUGAACACGAGGCUGGUUGGCGAUAAUGAGAUAAUGAACAUGAGGUUGGCUGGAGAUAAUGAACAUGAGGUUGGCUGAGAUAAUGAGAUAAUGAGCAUGAGGUUGGCUGGAGGUAAUGAGAUAAUGAACAUGAGGUUGGCUGGAGGUAAUGAACAUGAGGUUGGCUGGAGAUAAUGAGAUAAUGAACAUGAGGUUGGCUGGAGAUAAUGAGAUAAUGAACAUGAGGUUGGCUGGAGGUAAUGAACAUGAGGUUGGCUGGAGGUAAUGAACAUGAGGUUGGCUGGAGAUAAUGAGAUAAUGAACACGAGGCUGGCUGGAGAUAAUGAGAUAAUGAACAUGUGGCUUGCUGGAGAUAAUGAGAUAAUGAACAUGAUGCUGGUUGGCGAUAGUGAGCAUGAGGUUGGCUGGAGGUAAUGAACAUGAGGUUGGCUGGAGGUAAUGAGAUAAUGAACAUGAGGUUGGCUGGAGGUAAUGAACAUGAGGUUGGCUGGAGGUAAUGAACAUGAGGUUGGCAGAGAUAAUGAGCAUGAGGUUGGCUGGAGGUAAUGAGAUAAUGAACAUGAGGUUGGCUGGAGGUAAUGAGAUAAUGAACAUGAGGUUGGCUGGAGGUAAUGAACAUGAGGUUGGCUGGAGAUAAUGAGAUAAUGAACAUGAGGUUGGCUGGAGAUAAUGAGAUAAUGAACAUGAGGUUGGCUGGAGGUAAUGAACAUGAGGUUGGCUGGAGGUAAUGAACAUGAGGUUGGCUGGAGAUAAUGAGAUAAUGAAAAUGAGGCUGGCUGGAGAUGAGAUAAUGAACACGAGGCUUGCUGGAGAUAAUGAGAUAAUGAACAUGAGGCUGGUUGGCGAUAAUGAGCAUGAGGUUGACUGGAGGUAAUGAACAUGAGGUUGGCUGGAGGUAAUGAGAUAAUGAACAUGAGGCUGGUUGGCGAUAAUGAGCAUGAGGUUGGCUGAGAUAAUGAGAUAAUGAACAUGAGGUUGGCUGGAGGUAAUGAGCAUGAGGUUGGCUGAGAUAAUGAGAUAAUGAGCAUGAGGUUGGCUGGAGGUAAUGAGAUAAUGAACAUGAGGUUGGCUGGAGAUAAUGAGAUAAUGAACAUGAGGUUGGCUGAGAUAAUGAGAUAAUGAGCACGAGGUUGGCUGGAGGUAAUGAGAUAAUGAACAUGAGGUUGGCUGGAGGUAAUGAACAUGAGGUUGGCUGGAGAUAAUGAGAUAAUGAACAUGAUGUUGGCUGGAGGUAAUGAACAUGAGGUUGGCUGGAGGUAAUGAGAUAAUGAGCACGAGGUUGGUUGGAGAUAAUGAGUUAAUGAACAUGAUGUUGGCUGGAGAUAAUGAACAUGAGGUUGAAAAGUGGAGUGGCUGUCUAAGAGAUAUUUAUCUUCCUAUAUAUUGUACAUUUGAUGUAUUUGAAUACUGUUUCAUGUAACGCUGAAAUAGUGGAUUUAAUCAAAUUAACGUAUUGUUCUUUUUGUAUCCCCAAAAAGUUGUUCAUCAUCUAUUUUUUAAGUGAAAUUAUUAUUAUUGUCUGCACUUUAAUUAUUAAAAUAAAAUUAUUGAAUGAAAUAUUA